rnacentral:rRNA from 1 species
ACACAUGCAAGUCGAGCGGUAACAUUUCUAGCUUGCUAGAUAGCAUGACGAGCGGCGGACGGGUGAGUAAUACUUAGGAAUCUACCUAGUAGUGGGGGAUAGCUCGGGGAAACUCGAAUUAAUACCGCAUACGACCUACGGGAGAAAGGGGGCAACUUGUUGCUCUCGCUAUUAGAUGAGCCUAAGUCGGAUUAGCUAGAUGGUGGGGUAAAGGCCUACCAUGGCGACGAUCUGUAGCUGGUCUGAGAGGAUGAUCAGCCACACCGGAACUGAGACACGGUCCGGACUCCUACGGGAGGCAGCAGUGGGGAAUAUUGGACAAUGGGGGCAACCCUGAUCCAGCCAUGCCGCGUGUGUGAAGAAGGCCUUUUGGUUGUAAAGCACUUUAAGCAGUGAAGAAGACUCAAUGGUUAAUACCCAUUGACGAUGACAUUAGCUGCAGAAUAAGCACCGGCUAACUCUGUGCCAGCAGCCGCGGUAAUACAGAGGGUGCAAGCGUUAAUCGGAAUUACUGGGCGUAAAGCGAGCGUAGGUGGCUUGAUAAGUCAGAUGUGAAAUCCCCGGGCUUAACCUGGGAACUGCAUCUGAUACUGUUAAGCUAGAGUAGGUGAGAGGAAGGUAGAAUUCCAGGUGUAGCGGUGAAAUGCGUAGAGAUCUGGAGGAAUACCGAUGGCGAAGGCAGCCUUCUGGCAUCAUACUGACACUGAGGUUCGAAAGCGUGGGUAGCAAACAGGAUUAGAUACCCUGGUAGUCCACGCCGUAAACGAUGUCUACUAGUCGUUGGGUCCCUUGAGGACUUAGUGACGCAGCUAACGCAAUAAGUAGACCGCCUGGGGAGUACGGCCGCAAGGUUAAAACUCAAAUGAAUUGACAGGGGCCCGCACAAGCGGUGGAGCAUGUGGUUUAAUUCGG